rnacentral:tRNA from 1 species
AUUUCAAUAGCUUAAUAAUAGAGCAUAACACUGAAGAUGUUAAAGUGAGAACAUCACAUCUCUUGAGAUA